AAUGGCGUAAACCCGGGAGGCAGAACUUGCAGUGAGCCGAGAUCCGGCCACUGCACUCCAGCCUGGGUGACAGAGCGAGACUCCAUCUCUGACAAAGCAGGAGGGGGUUCACACACUGGCUAUCCUGAUUACAGUGCAUUGGACAAGGAGCUCUCCCACUGGAAGCUGUAUCACAGAACCAAAGGAACUGCCUUGGCGGGCAAAACCACAUUCAGCAGUCCUUCAAUCGGCCAGGGCCUUCCCUGCCCGUGUGCUCAUUCACUUAUACUACCCAUGUGGUCUCUUACAAUUGCUUUUCCUCUCCUUAACUCUCUUUUCUUACCCCAUCCCCUACCCCCAACUCCCUCUUGUCCUUAAAAGCUUCUUCCUGGUUUACACCUUAACCUCUUUGUAGGAUUCCAGUAAAUGCCAAGGCUUGUGGAGGUGGAAGAUUAUAAAUCAAAGCCACAGACACAGACAUGGAGGAGGAGCCACCCAGGGGGUGGAAGGGCCACAACUUGAAAACAAAUUCCUCAUUUGAAAAAUGGGAAAAAGAAGUAAUAUCAAGUGCCUUGACCAUGGCAUCAGAGAAUGGCAUCAGAGAAUGGCCUCCGAAGUUGUGAAGGGUUCUCAGACAAAACUUUGAAAUAUAAUGCAGAAUUCAAUCAGGUAUUAUUUUAAUCUUUAAGUAGUCUAGAUGGGUUGCAAGCUUCCAUGAAUAGAGGAGAGCUGUUAAGUACUUGGGUUAAGAGGGCUGGAGACCAACUCCUGUAUAAAUUGUGACAUUCUGUCUAUAUAGUAUAAAGGGAGCUCAGCAUGACCCAAGAAGGUCACAGACCAGAAUCACUGGCUGAAACCUCUGGCCAGUGACCAACCUCAACUCAAAGGUAAGUACAUUUUGUGUUCCUAAGAAUUCAGAAAGUUCGAAAUUCCUAUUAAAAAGUUGCUGCUGGCCAGGCACAGUGCCUUACAUCUAUAAUCCCAUCUCUACAAAAAUUACAAAGAAGCCAGGCAUAGUGACGGGCACCUGUAGUCCCAGCUACUGGGGAGGCUGAGGCAGGAGGAUUGCUUGAUCCCAGGAGGCAGAGGUUACAGUGAGCCAAGAUUGUGCCACUGCACUCCAGCGUGGGUGACAGAGCAAGACCCUGUCUUAAAAAAAAAAAAGAAAAGAAAAAAAUAAUACUGUUUGCUAGAAGACUUGAGACCUUCCCA